ensembl:lncRNA novel transcript
AGGCUCCCAGACUCUGUAGUGAAGAGGCAUGUAAAGAGACAAAUGAGAGCAUGCCAUGCAAACUGCUAAAGUUAGCCUUUGCCUUUUUCCCAGAGACUCUCUAGGAAUUUUUCCCAUCUGCUGACUAGGAGCAUUCAAAUUCUCAGCACAGAAGGUUCUUGCUGUUUUGCUGCACCAAGUUCUUGGAAAUCACAUACAGAUCCCCCUAAAGGAGAUUGGAACAGUGCAAUAUUUGGGGACUGCAUUCUCCACCCAAGGAUUUAGCAUCAAAUGAAAAACAGGUUCAUGUUCUGACAAGGUAGUCACAACAUUUGGCCAUUUUCUUGGGUACAAGCUAAGACCUCAGAAGACAUUACUGAUCAACACAUCCUGUUUAGCAGUAGUGACAGAACAUUGUGCAUUAAAAAUUCAAUGAUAUUUAACUUUGAAAUUAUAAA